ACUUCCGCCCGAGCGGGAGACGGGGGAGGUGACACGGAGCCGGCAGGCGCGAGCUCCGACCCUCGGAAGCCCCGGGACGCCGCGCGGGCCUAAGACUCACCAAGUAUAACGGCUGCCAGCGACACUGAGCAUCCAGUUCCUCGAACUCCCGCUCGAUGGUUGCCGACAUGGCGGCGGGGCAGCGCGAGCGGAACUACCACAGCGGACAGGCUCGGGCCCCGCUCUAUCCGGGGAGAGCGCUGGCACUGUGGCGCAUGCGCGCUCCGCGCCCCGCCCCGCCCCCCCACGUUGAGCCAAGCCGGCCUUGGGGAAAGUACCUGGAACGUCGGACGUCAGCGCGCUGCCUGGGCGCCGCGUGGGUCGGACGUCGUGGAGGAGGCGGGGCAGGCGGGGGCGUGGUCCAGAGACUGCCCAGGUGGGGGGGCGGGGCCGGGCGCCACCCUGGAGCUAGGUUGGACGGAGUCUAAGCCCAGGAGUUGAGAAAGUCCCUGGAAAGUCUCUGGCCAGCUCCGCCUUCCUUCCAGUUCUCCUUUUCUCCUUAGUCUUCAAGUUUAAAUACCAUAUAGGUUAGUCUAAUGGCCUGCGUUCAACUUUGAGACACAUUAGGGUGAUGUCAAUCUCAACAAGUUUUGUGCCAAACAAAUCGCUAUAGGAAAAGGGAAGGCAUUUAGGAGACUAUGUCUUGUUUAGAGUAUAUCUCACAGCUCCAAAGUUAAGUGUUGUCUGUUCAAAGCACAUGUAAGUCCCCUUCUACGAAACAAGCGCCUGGUUCCGGAAAUCGUUUCGCCACAGAUUUAAGAUAACCCAAUACUGGUGAACUCAUGUGCUUAAAAAAAUCUUACCAUCUGAUAAUCUUAAGAGAUGUGAGAAAAUGCUCAGAGGAUCAAGUGAAGAACUGUGAAGGGGGUAGAGAAGCAUGAACUGUGUUGUCACAGUAUUGGAUUCGAAAUUUGAUCCACAGUUUAACUCGGUUCUGGAAUUGGGAAUUCAGUGAAGCCCUGUGUUCAACCUCAGCCCUGGGAACAAAGAGCAAAAUCCCUAAAUACAGCAAUCCCAUCUCUCAGUGUCUGUCUGCAUACUUGCUCAGCAGCCUCAUGGCGCUGCCGAGUGGAAAGCUCAGAAUGUUUAGGUCAUCAAGGAACAUUCUUUGGUUUGAUUGGUUGGGGUUGGGUUUGGUUUUUUUGUUGUUUUGGUUUGUUUUGGUUUUGGUUGGUUUAUUUUGAAAAGGUCUCAAAGACCAACCCAACCUCCAAGCUAUGACUUCACAUGCAACAUGAGCUCAGGGCCUUGUAAAUGCUAAGCAAAUGCCCCAGCUCUUUCUUUCUUUUUGUUUUUCAAUUUACAGCUGACUCCUUAGUUAAAAGCACUGGGUACUGUUUCAGAAGACUGGUGUGGCUACUCACAGCCAUCUUUAAUUCCAGUCCCAGGGGUCUGAUGCCCUCUUCUAGUCUCCACAGACACCAGGCACACACUUGGUGCGCAUACAUGCCUGCAAAAUAAUCGUGUACAUAAAGGUUAUUAAUUUUUAGAUUUUAAUUUUAGGGUUUCACUAAAGUUCAUCAGGCUGGUCUUGAACUUGUUCUGAAACUGAAUCAAGCCUGUCCUUGCAGUUCCCCAAGUGGCUGGGGUUAUAGGCCCAGCUUGUGUGGCUUGUGUUUUGUUUUAUUUCGUUUUGGUAGGGUCUAACGUUGUAGUCUGGUACUGUCUUAAACUUGAUAUCCUCCUGCCUCUGCUUCCCAAGCACUAGGAUGAAAGGCUUGGGCAAGAUAUUCCUGACAAUGUUACUGUAUUUCUGGUAACUUAAGUCUAAGUCAAGUCGCAGACUUACACAGUCAUGCAGCAUGCACAUACUUCACAAUGGCUGGUAGCUGGUAAAGGGGGAAAAUGAUGGUGUUGUCCCCAAGUGGUGCUCAGCUCUAAAGGGCCAGAUGUAUCAGAUGUCUCCAUUUGCAUGAAGUUCAAGGGCAGAGUUGUGAGUAAUGCUGGGGCGGUGGCAAGAAUGGUCAGGGGAUAUUGGUUGUUCCAGAAUCUUGAGGCUAUCUUACAUCUUUACAGUAUUGCACAUAAUAUACUCGUGGUUUGUGUAUGUUAAUUAAUGAGCUGCACAUGUAAGAUUUCUUUUAACUUUCUGCCAACCUCAAUAAAAUUAUAAAAUUUU
rnacentral:lncRNA from 1 species